AAUGGAACAAAUGAUGACUAUUUUUCCCCGUCAUAUCGACUCUGCUGAUAAAUAUUUAUUAUAAAUAGCCAGAAUGUGCUGAUGUUCCUUU